rfam:Micromonospora echinospora strain DSM 43816 genome assembly, chromosome: I
CCGGUUCCGGUUCACGCCCGAUCCUGCGCAGGCACGACCCGCGCGGACGGCGACCCGGCGACC